UCUGUAUGCUGUCAAUUUUUGCAAUGUUUUUUUGUUUUUCAAUUUGAGCCAAAAUUUAUGAAUAUGGUGUUAUGGUAUGGAAAAUUUUUAAAAUGUGUAUGAGAAGCAAAAAAACGUUAAAUAUGAAAUUUUCGUGUUUCUGCCUUUCAAGUACAUGCCUAAAAUCAAAUUGGAAAGGAUAAUAAUUGAAAAUUGACAACGCAAGAAUGAUUGCAAUAAGAGCACCGUGAAAUCAAAACGAAAAAAAAACGACUCGCCAUUGAGACUAUAGAGAGGUCCAAACGUAUUGAAAGAGGAAAGGAAAAAUUUAACUUCAUGAGUACAUUAACAAUAACCUGCAAAGAAUACCAGUUCACGCCAUAAAGUCCCAAAAGGUUCCAAGCUCAACACAGGAGUUCAAAGCAACAGGCUAUUAGUUGGUAAGGAAUAUGAACCUAAUCCUCUCCAAUAUAAAGUCUGGUUUCUGUUUUAAAAAUAAAAAAAAUUAUUGAAUCGACAAAAAAAAUUAAAGUUUGGAACUGGAAAUGAUUCAAGGGUUGGAGUUAUUAAUCCCUUUGGCGUAGCAGGGAACUAAUUCCACUUAGAGAGUUAGAGUUAGUUCUCGCUCCGUGGGAACGAAAUAAUUUUUAGUAAACUGGAUUUAGUUUCUAUGCUAGGAAUUCCGGCGAUUUUAGAUUUCCAUUUUACAAAAGAGCUGCAACACAAAAUGACACGUACUAUAUAUAAACAUCCAACUUUUUAAUAGCCUUUUUUAGUAACUCAAAAACUAAGCGAAGUUUAAAUAAAUUUAAAUUUGUAUUAAAACCUAUUAUACAACAUGAGGAUUUUGUGGCGAUCUCUUAAAAAAUGCAUUAUAUUGAAUAAAAAGGUUAUUGUUCAGGUUUUUGCGUUUAUUGGCUUGAUUUACACAUUGACAUUGCUCGCAAAAUUUAAUUGGAAAUUCUAAUUCAACCCGCAGUUUGGUUAUUUGUCAAUAUUCACUCCUUUAAUUAAAAAUACAUAUUUUCUUCUACUUU